rnacentral:tRNA from 1 species
GGUCGCUUGAAUUUAUCCAUGGUUUGUUUGUAUAG